GCCUCCUUAGCUCAGCUGGUAGAGCACCUGACUUGUAAUCAGUAGGUCGCUGGUUCGAUUCCGGCAGGGGGCU
rnacentral:tRNA from 1 species